rnacentral:sRNA from 1 species
GGUGGUUGGGUGGUAAGAUGGCGGCUGUGAGUCUGCGGCUCGGCGACUUGGUGUGGGGGAAACUCGGCCGAUAUCCUCCUUGGCCAGGAAAGAUUGUUAAUCCACCAAAGGACUUGAAGAAACCUCGCGGAAAGAAAUGCUUCUUUGUGAAAUUUUUUGGAACAGAAGAUCAUGCCUGGAUCAAAGUGGAACAGCUGAAGCCAUAUCAUGCUCAUAAAGAGGAAAUGAUAAAAAUUAACAAGGGUAAACGAUUCCAGCAAGCGGUAGAUGCUGUCGAAGAGUUCCUCAGGAGAGCCAAAGGGAAAGACCAGGUGAGAGACACAAUGUUCACUUUCUACCAAUGCCAGACUGGUGAUUUUUGCAUAGCAACUAACAGAUUAAAUGUCACCCAAACGCAAACCUUUGUUCUUCUGAAAUGCCACUGGAGAAAGCUACUUCAGUUCUAAGGUGUCAGCGUUUUGCUUAUCAGUUUGAAACUCCAUGCAGCUAACCUUUCUGGAGUAGGUUGUUGCUUUUAGGAAAAUUGCUUGGACCCAGGAGAAAUAUCUCAGCAUUUGAGUCUAGCACAGGCCAUUUCUUCCUUUCAUAGCACACAGAUUAGGAGCAUAGCCUCUGAAAUACAUAUACUGC